AUAUAUAUAUAUAUAUAUAUGUUAUGUCAUAAACUGAAGCACUCAUAGAAAACAAUAUUGAACAAUCAGCCAGGUGCAUCAAGAAAUUAAAUCUACAUGAACAAUCGGCAAUGUGGAUCAUAAAUUUCCCAGUCAUAAUUUGGAGAAAAAGGAGAGAAGAAGAAGAAAAAGGAACCACACUCUGGCUUUCAAUUUUACCCUCUGAAUUUCUAGUUUUCUCUGCAGCUGUAUAGUUGAAACACAAUGGAAUAAUCAUGCCAGUAAUACUGCACACAGAAAAUUUAUUCAAAGGAAAAUUUUAUAAUAUGAAGCUUGAAUAACCAGUCAACCACCAAUUGUGAAAUCAUACAAAAUACAACCUUCAGAUCUCUGUAAGUAGCAAUAAAUAUUACAAUGAAAAUGGUGAAGUAGUGGCAGUCAGGAUUUAAAACUCAUACAACUAACAGGGAGGUACUUAC
rnacentral:misc_RNA from 1 species